GACGAACGCUGGCGGCGUGCUUAACACAUGCAAGUCGAACGGAAAGGCCCUGCUUUUGUGGGGUGCUCGAGUGGCGAACGGGUGAGUAACCCGUGAGUAACCUGCCCUUGACUUUGGGAUAACUUCAGGAAACUGGGGCUAAUACCGCAUAGGAGCUCCUGCUGCAUGGUGGGGGUUGGAAAGUUUCGGCGGUUGGGGAUGGACUCGCGGCUUAUCAGCUUGUUGGUGGGGUAGUGGCUUACCAAGGCUUUGACGGGUAGCCGGCCUGAGCGGGUCACCGGCCCAAUCACGAUGGGACUGCGACCCAGACUCGAACGGUAGGGAAGAGAGCGGAGGGUAGCAUAGUAGGCGGAGGGCUGGUGUAACAACGCCACGUGCGGGAUGACGGCAAUGGGGUUGUAUUCCACUGUCGCCUGUGACGAUGCGAUAGUGACGGUACUGGGUGAAGAAGCACCGGCUAACUACGUG
rnacentral:rRNA from 1 species